GAUGAAGAACGUAGCGAAAUGCGAUAAGUAAUGUGAAUUGCAGAAUUCAGUGAAUCAUCGAGUUUUUGAACGCAUAUUGCGCCCUCUGGUAUUCCGGGGGGCAUGCCUGUUCGAGCGUCAUUAAAUAACCCUCAAGCAUAGCUUGGUGUUGGGCUUUUUUACGUCCUUGACUGGGAUAGGCCUAAAAAUUAGUGGCGAUGGCUUUUUUACUUUCAAGCGUAGUAAAUCUCGUCUUGCUAAAGAGGAAAAAGAUUUUUUUUCUGCCAAAAAUUUUAACAUUUAAAGUUGACCUCGGAUCAGGUAGGAUUACCCGCUGAACUUAAGCAUAUCAAUAAGCGGAGGA
rnacentral:misc_RNA from 1 species